rnacentral:rRNA from 1 species
AAGGUGGGGAUGAACGUCAAGUCAUCAUGGCCCUUACGGCCUGGGCUACACACGUGCUACAAUAGGUCGGUACAAAGGGUUGCCAAGCCGCGAGGUGGAGCUAAUCCCAUAAAACCGAUCGUAGUCCGGAUCGCAGUCUGCAACUCGACUGCGUGAAGUCGGAAUCGCUAGUAAUCGUGAAUCAGAAUGUCACGGUGAAUACGUUCCCGGGCCUU